GAUGAACGCUGGCGGCGUGCCUAAUACAUGCAAGUCGAGCGAGCGGACGAGAAGCUUGCUUCUCUGAUGUUAGCGGCGGACGGGUGAGUAACACGUGGAUAACCUACCUAUAAGGCUGGGAUAACUUCGGGAAACCGUAGCUAAUACCGGAUAAUAUUUUGAACCGCAUGGUUCAAAAGUGAAAGACGGUCUUGCUGUCACUUAUAGAUGGAUCCGCGCUGCAUUAGCUAGUUGGUAAGGUAACGGCUUACCAAGGCAACGAUGCAUAGCCGACCUGAGAGGGUGAUCGGCCACACUGGAACUGAGACACGGUCCAGACUCCUACGGGAGGCAGCAGUAGGGAAUCUUCCGCAAAGGGCGAAAGCCUGACGGAGCAACGCCGCGUGAGUGAUGAAGGUCUUCGGAUCGUAAAACUCUGUUAUUAGGGAAGAACAUAUGUGUAAGUAACUGUGCACAUCUUGACGGUACCUAAUCAGAAAGCCACGGCUAACUACGUG
rnacentral:rRNA from 1 species